rnacentral:rRNA from 1 species
UACGGAGGGUGCGAGCGUUAUCCGGAUUUACUGGGUUUAAAGGGUGUGUAGGCGGAUCUUUAAGUCAGUGGUGAAAUCUUCAGGCUCAACCUGGAAACUGCCAUUGAUACUAUUGAUCUUGAAUACUGUGGAGGUGAGCGGAAUGUGUCAUGUAGCGGUGAAAUGCAUAGAGAUGACACAGAACACCGAUUGCGAAGGCAGCUCACUACGCAGUGAUUGACGCUGAGGCACGAAAGCGUGGGGAUCAAACAGG